GCAUGUGGUGAAUCUAUUGACAUGUUGCAAAGUUAAAGUCAAAUGUGAGUCAUGAAAGAGAAGCAUCAUGAUCACUAUAAAAAUGGUAGUGCCUUCAGAAGACAAUGCCUACUAACACAUCAAAAGAAGGGUAGAUGUUAGAAGAUCUUUCACUAACACAUAGGUCGGCCCAAUGAGUCAAAAAGCCACUCCAACUAUCUGAUCAAAAAAUAGUAUGAUUGUUAAAAGGUGGGUUGACCCAUGAUUGUGUUGACCUUACAAAACCCUCUUAUUUCAAUUCCAAUGAUCGACUUUAAUAAUGACAAAAUACAUGUUACCUUUUUCUACAAAAUACAAGUUUCCUUUUGCUACAUGUACCAAAGAAAUAUUCAAAAUUAGUGGUGCAAAUUUAGAGCUUCCUAAGCUUCUAAGUCUUCUAUCAACAAAUAAUGCUUCAUUUAAUCAUUUGAAGAUGAUCUUGGUUCCUCAUUGUUACUCUCACAACUGAAGUCACAUAGAGGAGUCCUAAUAACUAGGGUUUAAAGAUUUUCUACAAUUUUGAUAUGUAUUGUGGGGAUAUAGACCCAAAAUAAAUGUAUCAUAUCAAGAAAAAGUUGAUAAAAUUUGAAAUGAGUUAUAUUCUCUUAAUAAUAAUAGUAGGACCCAAGAUUUG
rnacentral:lncRNA from 1 species